GCUGUCUUCAUACACAGUUUACAUACUAAAGAAUUUCAGCAUUAUCAAAUAAAUGGUUUUCAAUCCAUUGACAGGAAGCCAUGUUUGUUGCAAUAUAUUGUUUGUGGUAGACACUGGGAAGAAACCGACUAUUGAAUGUGUAUUUAUUUGUUUCCUGGUACAAAACUGAUGUAAGAGCAGCCAUGAUGAAGCAGUAAAGGUUCUUGGAUACCUUGCUUCAAUACCUCUGGUCGGACAAGAAAAGACCUGGCUAAGGAGUAGAGCUUUAAAUAAUUUAUCACCAAGAAAGUUACUGAUUUAAUCCGAAUCCUGUAACGCGAAAGAUUCUUAAUUAAGCUAAGUGUGCAAUAUUAGGUCAGUUAAGACGACAGUAAUGCAUAGGUAUAUUUUGAAAUCUAGACAUAGUAGCUGUUGUUAUAUUUUUGAUUUAAACAUGCCUGUAUAGUACAAUGCAUACUAUUUUAUGUUUUCUGCAAGUUUCAAUUAAAGAAAAAUGGUCAAGUAUAUUUUGAACUCAGUGUAUUUUGUAAGUUUAAAGGAU